rnacentral:rRNA from 1 species
ACGGAGGAUGCAAGCGUUAUCCGGAUUUAUUGGGUUUAAAGGGUGCGCAGGCGGUUUUACAAGUCCGUUGUGAAAGCUUGUCGCUUAACGUCAGGAUUGCCUUUGAUACUGUAUGACUUGAGUAUAGCUGAGGUAUACGGAAUUUCUAGUGUAGAGGUGAAGAUCCUAGAGAUUAGGAGGAGCGCCGAUGGCGGAGGAAGUAUACUGGGCUAAGACUGACGCUGAGGCGCGUAAGCGUGGGAAACAAAAAG